rnacentral:rRNA from 1 species
CUACGAGUGGCAGCAGUGGGGAAUAUUGGACAAUGGGCGCAAGCCUGAUCCAGCAAUGCCGCGUGAGUGAAGACGGCCUUAGGGUUGUAAAACUCUUCCGCUAGGGAAGAUAAUGACUGUACCUAGUAAAGAAGUCCCGGCUAACUCCGUGCCAGCAGCCGCGGUAAUACGGAGGGGACUAGCGUUGGUUCGGAAUUACUGGGCGUAAAGAGUUCGUAGACGGACUGACAAGUUAGAGGUGAAAUCCCAGGGCUCAACCCUGGAACUGCCUUUAAAACUGUCAGUCUAGAGACCGGAAGAGGUUAGGGGAAUACCUAGUGUAGAGGUGAAAUUCGUAGAUAUUAGGUGGAACACCAGUGGCGAAGGCGCCUAACUGGUCCGGUACUGACGCUGAGGAACGAAAGCGUGGGGAGCAAACAGGAUUAGAUACCCGGGUAGUC